AUUGAACGCUGGCGGCAGGCCUAACACAUGCAAGUCGAGCGGAUGAAGGGAGCUUGCUCCUGGAUUCAGCGGCGGACGGGCGAGUAAUGCCUAGGAAUCUGCCUGGUAGUUGGGGAUAACGUCCGGACACGGGCGCUAAUACCGCAUACGUCCUGAGGGAGAAAGUGGGGGAUCUUCGGACCUCACGCUAUCAGAUGAGCCUAGGUCGGAUUAGCUAGUUGGUGGGGUAAAGGCCUACCAAGGCGACGAUCCGUAACUGGUCUGAGAGGAUGAUCAGUCACACUGGAACUGAGACACGGUCCAGACUCCUACGGGAGGCAGCAGUGGGGAAUAUUGGACAAUGGGCGAAAGCCUGAUCCAGCCAUGCCGCGUGUGUGAAGAAGGUCUUCGGAUUGUAAAGCACUUUUAUUUGGGAGGAAGAGCAGUAAGUUAAUACCUGGCUGUUUUGACGUUACCAAAAGAAUAAGCACCGGCUAACUUCGUG
rnacentral:rRNA from 1 species